rnacentral:lncRNA from 1 species
AAACUGGACAUUGCAUUUACAGGGCAUUCUUAUAAAGUUCAUAUGAAAUGAGAAGCAACAACUACUUUCACUCCAUACAGAAGUUUAACUCCUUAGCAACCAGAUGAAGACUAGAAAUGUGUGAUACUUAAAGAGCAAGACAACAGAAGCUGCUCAGUUGCAGCUGCUGCCAGAACACAAAGCCACAUCUGCCUUGUUUUUUCCCUUUCUUUACUUUUAACUAACCGGAUCAAAUCUCAUAGGAAUAUUUUGCCUGGUAUAUGGAUUUCUCUAAAAUGACCAUUUUCACCCACAGUGUAGAGAAAGAUUGUGAAGAUGAAAUUUUCUUUAAUUUGCUACCUGGGACAUGGUUGUUUAUCAUCAUUUACACAUAAAUUGUGUCAUAUAGAACCUUAGGGAAAACUAUAUUGGUGAGGAAAGAAGCUGAAAACGGUCACAUUGUGGGCUGCUAAAUGAAUCCACUCACCUCGCUGGCCAUUUCAGAUGCUCGCUUUGCUCUCUGAAUAUCAAGAACUUCUGAACUGAGCUCCAUUCCUUUCCCUUUGAUUUCAUUUUCCAGAUCUUUUUUAUAUUCUUUCUAUAAGACAAGAAUAGAAUAUUUCACUUGAAGAUUUCUCCACAAUUACUUUAACUCAUAUACCAGUUUACAUGUCUUCUAGAGACUACAGACAGGAGAAAAUAUUGUUAGGAAGGAAAAAUUAGAUACUGAACAUUCUUGCCAAUUUCCCAUUGACGUUUUCUUUUCUCCUCUAUCAAACUCAAAGUGGCAUCCAUAUUACCAGUGUUUCAUCCUUUCUCCCAAUAUCUUUUGGCAUCAUUCUGAACUUCUUUAAAAAGAUAUCUCCCCUUUAAGAGUUGGAGAAAAUCUUCAGAAUAUAUAUGCUUCUUAUUACUUGAAGUGAUUUUAAAAAUAUCUAUUUGAUGUGAAUUUCUAAAAGAACUUACAGAAAAAGGACCGCAAAGCCAAAACUAGCUAUAGCCAGAGGCAUUUUAAAAUGUGUACUUUAUUUAAAGAUCUGUUCAAAAAAGCAAUUUUCUUAAAAUUGAUAAGAGACUUUGAAUAUCUUUCUUAAUAUUAUAUAUUUUUUAAAUUUUUAGAUAGAGUCUCAUAUAGCCUUGGCUGGACUAGAAAUCGCAAAUAGACAAAUAUGCCUUGAAGUUCUAAUCUUUCUCCCCCUGCUUUUGGAGUGCUGGGAUUACAGGUAUGAACUUACAAACUCACUUUAUGAGAUGCAGGGAUGGAACCCAGAGAGCUUUGAGCAUGCUAGGCAAGCACUCUGCCAACUGAGCUACAUCCCAAACAUUGACACCGCAUUUUAAAUAAUCAUAGCUGCUUUACAGAGACUCUUAUAUUCUCUACUGAGAAAUUGUUGAUUUCCUUAUUUAUUUACACUGUAAAAUUCCAUCAAACUGGGUUUCAUUUUAUGACUAUUUUGCUAAACGAAAGAUAUAAUUCCCUUUAAUGUUAAGAAACCAGGUUCCUGUUAAUUCCAGAGUCCAUGUCACACACAUACACACACACACACACACACACACACACACACACAUACACACCGUCCUGUAUCAUUAAAUUAGGCUGACUUCUGAUCAAACAAUAGCUUUUGGAGACAUUGUCAAGCCUGCCUGUGAUUUUAGAAAUAGCUCUCAGUCAAAUGGCCUUGAUGAAAGUCACAACCUUUCUACUAAUUUGGUCAUGUGAACUUUAGGAGGCCCUUGAGUGAGUCAGUUUCCAAUUCCAUCAUGGAAAAAGGAAAUAAAAUAAAUGUCCUACUAAUACCAAAGGACAAUGGAGGAAAAUUGGGCAAAAUAUUGGAACAGCCAAAGGCCUUACAUAAAACAUACAUCCUAAAAUAUAAAAUGAUACUUGGGAGACUCUACAUGGCAAUAUAAAACCAUAAAAUAAAGAGCAUAGAAUCUAUUACAGCUAAGGGCUUACAUCUAAAAAUUUCUAAUUAUAUCAUGUAACCAAGUGGCUUUUUCAAUUAGCUAUGUCUAUGUAACUAACUAAAAGAUUAGACAUAGCCACUAUGAAAGAAAUACUUGUGUAAAUCUGCAUGUUGAAGCCCCAGCUCCCUUGAGAAGUAUUUGGGUUUCUAUGGGUAUAUGAGGGUAGGUAGGGACAAUGCUGAUAUUAAAGGCUCCACGCAGAAGGAGACUAGCAUUCUUUCUUCUGCUGUGGUGACACAGAAAGCAAACACCAGCAAGCAGGAACAGAGCUCUCACCUGGAGCCAAAGCCACCAGAACCUUGACUUGGGGCUUCUUGGUUUUCGGAACCAGGAGAACUGUCUGAUUUAGAACCACUCAGUUUACAAUAUUUCCUUAUAAAAGCCCCAAGCUUCCUGCUCCAAUGAACAGUUUUGUGGACCCUUUCCUGUUCUGUUCAGGCAUCCGGAAUUCUAAGUCCAAAAUGUGAUUAAUUAAACCUUGCUAUUUUAGUUAUAUGACACUCAUAGCAUCAUUGCUCUGAAUAUUUCCUUUGAAAGAAUUAGAAUCACAUUUUCCCCACUAAGAAAGAAGACAGGAAUAAAAUGGGAGAGUUGAGAAUCAGUCUCACAUUGUCACUGUAUGCCAGUGAUUGGAAGUCCCUGCCUUAACGUGCACACAGCGGUGCAGCUUUACAACAGAGAGCAGUAUAUGGACAGCACCAUUUACUUGUUCUCAGCUUCAAAGAAUAUUUACACAAAUAAGAAAUGACAAGUGGGGGCGGGGCAACAGAAUCGAGAUAGAAGCUGCAUUGUUAUUCCAAGAAAUCACAGUAAUGUCUGAUGUCACUUAAGCAGCAAAGGCCAGCUCUCAUUUACUUAUUAAAAGCUCAUGAUUAAAAGUUUCAUCUCUAGGUGAACUGAUGCUUAAGUUCAUUCCACUGGUUUAGGACAUUUCUUUCAGCAGAAUCACUUCUUCAAUUCAAAAAUUGGCAAUAAGACUGCAGUUUUCUUCUUACGGGUGUGUUCUACUCAUGCAUUAUAUUCUAGGUUACAUUAACAUAUAAUCAUUUAAAUGAACAUGUCACAGCAGAGUUAGCUUUGAGCCACUUGGGGGAGAUGGAUUAAUUUUCCAGAGUGUUGAAGUACAAGUAUAAUGUUUUGAUUUAUUAAAGUUAAGACAUUUAAUAUUCAACAAAUUUAAUAUAUUAAUUGUGAACCAAAUUUUAAUUAAGUUACCAAAAAAAUUUCUAUGGUAAUUUCAGAUAUAAUACCUAAUUCUGGCCUCUGUAGACACUGCACUCAUGCACACAAAUCCACACAUGCACACAGAAUUAAAAGUUAAGACUAAAAAUUUAAAAGUAAAGCUGGUUGUAGAAUAUGCUUAUGAUAACUAAGAAAAUCAAGCUUUCAAGAAAGUGCUUUUCUCAACCAGGUGGUGGUGACAC